rnacentral:rRNA from 1 species
CACUUCUAAGGAAGGCAGCAGGCGCGCAAAUUACCCAAUCCUGACUCAGGGAGGUAGUGACAAGAAAUAACAAUAAACCGGCUUAUGCCGGUUUAAUUGGAAUGAGUACAAUUUAAACGUCUUAACGAGGAACAAUUGGAGGGCAAGUCUGGUGCCAGCAGCCGCGGUAAUUCCAGCUCCAAUAGCGUAUACUAAAGUUGUUGCAGUUAAAAAGCUCGUAGUUGGAUUUCUGUGGGGACGGAGCGGCCGGCCGCACAUCGCGGUUCGAGCUAGCGCUUUCCCUACAUCCUGCCGCGAACCGUGCUACCAUUAAUUUGGUGGCGCCGGGGAUCGGCUCGAUUACUUUGAGAAAAAUAGAGUGUUCAAAGCAGGCCACAUGCCUUGAAUAAGUUAGCAUGGAAUAAUAACUAAGGACUUCGGUUCUAUUUUGUUGGUGUUCGGGACUGAAGUAAUGAUUGAUAGGGACAGUUGGGGCGGUCUGUAUUCCAAAGCGAGAGGUGAAAUUCUUAGACCUUCGGAAGACAAACAGCUGCGAAAGCGUUCCGCAAGGAUGUUCCCUUUGAUCAAGAACGAAAGUUGGGGGAUCGAAGACGAUCAGAUACCGUCGUAGUCUCAACUAUAAACUAUACCAGCUAGGGAUCGGCCAACGUUAUUUCAUACCGACUUGGUCGGCACCUUAUGAGAAAUCAAAGCAUCUGGGUUCCGGGGGGAGUAUGGUCGCAAGGCUGAAACUUAAAGGAAUUGACGGAAGGGCACCACCAGCCGUGGAGCCUGUGGCUUAAUUUGACUCAACACGGGAAAACUUACCAGGUCCAGACAUAGUAAGGAUUGACAGAUUGAUAGCUCUUUCUUGAUUCUGUGGGUGGUGGUGCAUGGCCGUUCUUAGUUGGUGGAGUGAUUUGUCUGGUUAAUUCCGUUAACGAACGAGACCCCAGCCUGCUAAAUAGCGCGCGUGAGCUUUGCUCGCGGCGAGCUUCUUAGAGGGACUAUGAUGCGCGAUAGCACAUGGAAGUUUGGGGCAAUAACAGGUCUGUGAUGCCCUUAGAUGUUCUGGGCCGCACACGGGCUACACUGGCGCCUGCAACGAGCAUAUCAGCUGGCCCGAGAGGGUCUUGGCUAAUCUUUUGAACCGGCGCCGUGCUUGGGAUUGACCUUUGCAAUUGUUGGUCAUGCAACGAGGAAUGCCUUGUAAACGCGAGUCAUCAGCUCGCAUUGAAUACGUCCCUGCCCUUUGUACACACCGCCCGUCGCUCCUACCGAUGAAUGUUCCGAUGAAAUUUUCGGAGAGCACCUGUGAACUUGGCUCUGCCUUGCGAACGGGAGGCUCAAAGUCACUUAAAUCUGAACAUUUCG